ensembl:lncRNA
GAAUCAGAGCCAUAAAUUAAAUGUGCCUCACCUCCUUUAUCACUUUCUCACGUAGCAUCAAAGCUUCUUUCUUUGGGUCUUCUGUCUCGCCGCCCAUUGCUCGGGCGAGUGCGUGAUAAAGAGCAUUCGGACGGUCCGAGUCCACGCUGAUUAUCCUGCCGUCAUCUUGUACGACGUCAAAAUGGCCGCUGUACAGCUGUGCAGCAGCUCUGUUUUUAAAAGGAAAAGAUGUUGAGCACACGGUGUUCAGAAGCAUCAUCACUGAGAUGUAUUUCUAUACGCGAGCUGCGUAGCGCUCUAGUGCCAGACUUACUGUGAUGGAUGCGGGGCAUUCGCAGAUUUGGUUAAUCUCAGUUUUAUAUCACCUGCGGAUUUGCUGGUUCCUGGGUAACGUUCCUCAGUGAGCGGUUUUCCGUUCUCAUCGACGACAGCGAGUUGAAUUCCUUUUCCAUGGAGCAGAUUACUUUUCGUGAGCACGUACACAUCGAGGGCUGUAGCGGGCUGAUCGGCUCGGCUCACAUCUUCCACGUACCGCCUCAGCCGUGUCAUGUCCACGUCCGACGGCUGUUCCGGUUCCCUGUGGCUCGCAGUCUUCUCGUUGUGUUUUUGCCUCUGGUCAUGGAAGAAACGUUGAGUCGGUUGCCUGCUCAUGACGCGGUCUACCGCCUGUCCAACGGCACUGCUCAACUGACUCUUAAAUGUGCCGGUCAUUAAAGACGCUAUAUGUUCGGAACAGGAACUGACGAAUUGCUCAGAAACUUUCUCAGCGAUAAUCUGUAGCAGUUCUUUUUAAGGCGUUGUACAUCGUGUAGAUUGUGUCGUCCGUCCUGGUCAUAUUCCGUCAUGCCUUUCUGAAGCUCACUGAUGCUCUCUAGAAAUUCAGGAACAAAUUUCUGGUCUAUUAUCUUCUUUGUCGGUACGGCCUCCAAUAUUUGAGCGAGACGUGUCGAGUACUCAGCUACUUUCAGAACCAGCUUUGCCAUUUCAAACACACCUUUCGCCUUCUCCUUAACCAUAAUCUCUGCUGCUGCGUUACACACCUCGGAGAGUUUGCUGAUAACCUCUUGUGCUGUGGUACAGUCCACUAUGAGGUGAGGAGCGAUAUCUUCGCAGAGCACAGCGACCGAUUCUCGUGUUUGCGUCUCAUAUUUAUGGUCAAUCUUGAAAUUCACCUUUUCCAAGGCAGCUUUCGGAACACCUGAGCUGAUGAACUCGGCAAGACUCAGAUCCAGUUUACUGUUCCCCUUCACCGAUGAAGUAACCAUGUCCUUAAAACUUCUUCGUAAAAUGUUCCCAAGAACUUCCUGAAGCGCUUUGUCGAUGGCGUAGUUCAUGGCAGUGACCACAGACUGUUUCCCGAGUUCCUGAACCGCGUAUUUCGUGGCAUGUUUGAAGUUCUGUCUGAGCGCUGUAGAAGAUGCCAUGUUUUUCAGUGUAGACUUAAAAGAUGUCUGAGUGAGGGAUGAUACACCAGACUGAACGCUUCCUUUGAAUGACAUAAACGUCGCCUUUCCUGAUUUGAUGAAUUCCGACGCAACAGAAGAGAAGGACUUGGUACCGUUGAGGAGACUUUUUGUCACUUUAAACACUGCGGUCACCGCUUUCUUGAUAACGCUAAACCCGGCCGUUAGCAAAGCGAGCCCUAUGCUGAUACUCUUCGAGAUUGCCCAUGACACCCAAUCGAAGGUGCCCUUUAUCAUCCCCUCGAUUCCACUGAUCAUGUCCGACACCCCUUCUGAAAUCAGACCCAUUCCAAACUGGCUGGCUGUCCCAAGUGUCAGCGCACAGACUAGGAUCCCAGCGAUCACCUGCACCACCCCGAGUAUGAAACAGAUCAAAGCAUCCAAGCAAAACUUGGGCUUUUUUUUCACCUCGAAAACAACACCGAGGCCGUAGUCGUAUAAAGAUCUCAGCUCGUUCGUGACGAUGAAGUUCUUUUCUGCGGACAACAUGUAGACAGAACAGUCCUCCGUAAUGGCGUCGCUGUUGCUUUUCUCCAGCUCUCGAAGUUUAGUCAACGCGUUAUCGAUGUACGUCCUCCACGACUUAAAGAUGUUCAUUCUGGCCUCCAUUUGACUCUGGAAGUUGUUGUUUUCUGUGCGGUGCUCAACGUUCCCAGUGACUGAGAUGUUACACGAGACCAUAGUGUUUGAGACUUCUGAGACAUAGACAUCAACGGAUUUCUUUGCGUCUUCCAGCAGGUUCAUAGCGUCGGCUUUAUAGUUGUCCCCGCCGAGGUUGAUGGUGAUGUACGCCUGGUUGUAGAGGGCCACAGCCUUGUAGUGUGGGUCAAAGCUUGCAACUUUCUGCCAAUAGGAUUUGACUCCAAAGUCAUCUCUGGAUUUGUUUCGGCAGUACAGAUCAGUUCUUACGAUGGCCUGUCUGACGUGAUCGUAGAAAUGAUCGCUUUCUCCUCGCAGCAGCUUUCUGCUUGUCUCGUCCGUCGUCCUGAUAAGGUCUGCUUCAAGUUGUCUGAAGUCAUCAUGCCUGUUGAUGUGCUCCUCAUGAAGGGUCAACCACAAGGCCCAAGAUUCUUUCAUAGCGUUGACGGCAGGCUGAUAAUCAAACUUAUGCUGAUGAUGUGUGAAGCAAUCAGGAAUUUUACUGAGCCGCAUUUGCAUGGGGUCCAGUUUUUCGUUCGGUGUGUAAUGCCCAUCAAAGUUCUUCAACAAUGUACAAAAUGUGGAAAACAGAUCUUCCUUCAGGUUUAUUUCAACCAGCUCGUCACUUUCCAUGUCGUGGAUUCGUUUAAUUUCAUAAUCCUCUCUUAACUGACGCAUGAUUUCCACAGACUGACCUUGGUAAGCAGGUGCGAGAUGAUCACAGUUCACAACCAUCUGGACCAUCCCUGGAUUGCCUUUCCGAGACGUACGACCGAAUAUUUGUUUCUCCACUCUUCGGUUGUGUGGAAAGUGAGUAAGAAGAAUGAAAAGACCGCCACAAUUAUUCACGUUUUCAUCAACCUUUAUGUCUGUCCCCCGUCCUGCGAGAUUCGUAGCAAUGAUGACUCUGCCUGCACAGAAGGUCUGUUUUUCAAUGUCAUGCUUCUCGCUGAUGGUGUACAUAGUAAUCUGGUCUGCUUUAAAUCUGCCGCCAUCUUGUAUUUUCACGUGGAGUUCAUCUGCCGUUUUAACGUCCUCACAAAUCACCAAGACGACUUGUCCUCUCUCUGCUACUUUCCAUGAGGUCUCACAAAUAGUCUGGAUCCACUGGUGAGUCCCACCUUUCACCUGGAUGACUGGAAGCUCGACCACACGCUUAUGGCGAUGUGCAGGUACGGUGUAACUCUUCGCUUCAUAAUAUUUUGCCAGAAAGUCCUGAUCUGCCUUCCCUCCUAAUGUACCUGAAACACCAAAUAUACCAUUCCUGCUGAGGUACCUUUUAAAGUAAUGGAAAUUUGACAUGUAGUUUGUGACGUUGGAUAUCGGUGAAAUCGCAAGUUGGUGCUUGAACUCCAAAAACUGCUGCAGUCCGUUACCCCACUUCUUGUUUUUCUCCAGCACUCCACUCGCUUUGAAGUCCACUGGAAUGACGGCGUUACACUCGUGUCUGUCAGUUUCCUGUCCAGCGGCCGGCGAGGCGUCGAUCAUGUAUUCUCGGCCCUGCGACAUCUCAACAGCCCUUAGUGCGUUCCGGACAAAAACCUCCAACUGAUUCUCAACAUAGCUCUUCAAGAAAAAAGGGACGACGAUGAAGGGGUCGGAUUCUUCGGCCGUUUGGAGGUGAUCCGAGUACUUGAUAGACGAAUUUAUUGUCUUUACAGUCGCGUCGAUCAGCGAUUUCUCAGACAGGAUUUCACACGCCAGUCCUCCGUCCAGCAGGAGCAUUUCAACAUUAAGGUCACCUUGUUUUUCCCGAGCGUGGAAACUUUUGGCUUUCUUCUUCUCUAAAGCAUAGCACUUAAACACGGCGCUGCUCUCCAAGACCUCCUCAAAUAUGCUCAGCAGAUCGUACUGUUGUGAAACUCCAAGUUUCUUCAUGACUUCAGAUAAUGCUUUGGACAUUCCAUCCUCAUUCCCAUCACCAUCGCUUUCAUUCUCUUUCUUGCUCUCGGCUUGACGUAUCAUUUCGAUGUCCUCCUGGGUGUAGAACCCCAAAGUCACUCCAGGCAACAAGAUCUCGUUUGCUGAGAAGCUUUCUGUUUCCAGUCCCAUAACGGCUGCUGUUACAGCUUUGUGGAAGUACUGUAUCCUCGCUGCCCAUUUGAUCUCACCUGUUUCAAACAUUUCAAUUGGUUGACAUGCAGAUAUCAUGGCCCAUAUGCUGGAAAGCACUUGCUCCACAUGCCUAAAUCCACUAGAUUCAUGGGACAAGAACGUCACUUGAACUCCAUUGUCCAAGGUCAUGUAGUCCACUUCAUCCACUAUUACAAGCUCAAAGUUCCUGUCAUUACGGGUAAUCCUCUUCUCGAAUUCCUGUUUAAGUGUGUCUGCUGCAAACACUCCCACUGUGCCAUAUACUAUUUGUUGUCGGUAAGCAUUUUUAAGAUCUUCCUCAUGUUUCUCAGGUGAAAAGGCACCUGAGAAAGCUGGAGGUACUACAGAUGAGGUGACACCAAACAUUUGAAACAGUUUACACCACUCUUCUUGGUCUCGCCGGGCGAGAAGCGGAGAGCUGGUCACAAUGUCCACUUUUGUUUCACGAAUAGCCAUAAUUGUCGCAAACAUGGCUAAGAUACAGGACUUGCCUUCACCUGUGCCAAUCUCAAGAAGAGAUCCUUUAUUUUGCGUCAGCUGUGCCAGGAGGAGCAAAAGCAACGAUGCUAGUUGUGUACGUCUUGGAAAAUAGCCUGCUCUGGUGGUUUUGGUGCAGUCUCGCACGGCUAAUGACAUUCCAGUUAAUACGUCUUUCAGAACGUUGAUAUCUGGGUCCGUAAGUUUAAGAGAUCUUAUCUUUCUUUUCAAAUCAUCGAUCUCGGUAAGUUCCUUCGAUUCACAUUUUGGGAGUUCCGACUCCAGGUAUCUAAGCACAUCCUUCAACGGCACCAAGACUUUCUCUGGGCAGUUUGCUUCACGAAGUUCCUUCACGAUCAUCUCAGCAUCUUUCUCCGGGAUGUAUUUUACUUGCUCUUUAAGAAACAUUAAAGGGUUUUCAUUGCUAAGAGCAGAGACCACGAGGAUGCAGUCCAGGUGGUAGGUUUGCGCGGUGUGGAGAACUGAAUCGAGUUGAUCAUACUUGAUAGCUGGACUUUUGAUAAUGAACAGCAUUAUUUCCGUUGGUGUCCAGAUUCUGUUGAACAACAUUUGACCCAAAAUGUCCUUACCUUGUGGUGACAGGUCUGAAAUCGUGUCGAGUACGUUUAAUAAAAUGCGUUCAGCCAAAGUCGGGUUUGUGGCAUGAAGCUGCUCCAUCAAUCCCAAGAGGAAGUCGUACUUCUUCUCCCAGCCGAGCAGCUCAUUUCCAUCAUCUUCAGCGUCUUCACUGCUACUGUACAGAAUGAACUGUAGAGAUGCCUCAAGAACUGUGAGCUUCUCAGUAAGAGACAGUUCGUUAUACCCUACGGCGUGAUCGAAGGUGAACUGAGACCAUACUGAAAGGCCGUUUUCUCUACAAUAUUGGACUGCGAUUUCAUUCUGGAGCGUCUUAAUCCUGCCCCAGAUCUUGUAGUGCUGUAUCUCUUCAUCUUCUGUGAUCUGGUACUUUAACAAAAGCGCUUUGAAUUUUUCUUCAACAUCAAUAACCUACAGAAAUAAAUGUGCAAAGAUGUCACUUAGUAAAAAGAGAUAUUUUAUCACGUGCUCAAUCCGUAUUAAAGUCGUACCUCGUCCCUCUCGAUCGCAGCAGCGUCGUCUUCUAUCUGCUGUUGGAGAACUUGUGUACGUUCAUGAUGCUGUUCCUGACCUCUGAAGCGCUGUUUCUCGCGAAGCCGCUGAGUUGCUUGAGAAAGCUUGUGUCUGGAUGAUUCGCUCUCUCUGUUCAGCUCCUCCUGGAUCCUUCUCUCACGUUCCAAACGUUCCAGAUGUUCUCUCUCCUCCGCUUGCUUUUUCAGUCUUUCAUCUUCUUCAAUUUUUCCUGU